GGCUGUUUGCCCGAGGGGUUAAGGGGGCAGACUCAAGAUCUGCUGGAUGAAAGUCCGCAUGGGUUCAAAUCCCAUAGCAGCCA